GAUCCAUGCUCGCGGCCUAUCAGCUUGUUGGUGAGGUAACGGCUCACCAAGGCGACGACGAGUAGCCGGCCUGAGAGGGCGACCGGCCACACUGGGACUGAGACACGGCCCAGACUCCUACGGGAGGCAGCAGUGGGGAAUAUUGCGCAAUGGGCGAAAGCCUGACGCAGCAACGCCGCGUGAGGGAUGACGGCCUUCGGGUUGUAAACCUCUUUCAGCAGGGAAGAAGCGAAAGUGACGGUACCUGCAGAAGAAGCACCGGCUAACUACGUGCCAGCAGCCGCGGUAAUACGUAGGGUGCAAGCGUUGUCUGGAUUUAUUGGGCGUAAAGAGCUCGUAGGCGGCUAGUCACGUCGGAUGUGAAAACCAGGAGCUUAACUCCUGGCCUGCAUUCGAUACGGGCUGACUAGAGUGUUGUAGGGGAGACUGGAACUCCUGGUGUAGCGGUGAAAUGCGCAGAUAUCAGGAAGAACACCGGUGGCGAAGGCGGGUCUCUGGGCAACUACUGACGCUGAGGAGCGAAAGCGUGGGGAGCAAACAUGAUUAGAUACCCUGGUAGUCCACGCCGUAAACGGUGGGCGCUAGGUGUGGGGAACAUUCCACGUUCUCCGUGCCGCAGCUAACGCAUUAAGCGCCCCGCCUGGGGAGUACGG
rnacentral:rRNA from 1 species